UACGUAGGGGGCAAGCGUUAUCCGGAAUCAUUGGGCGUAAAGGGUGCGUAGGCUGCCCUAUAGGUCAGAGGUCAAAGGCUACGGCUCAACCGUAGUAAGCCUUUGAAACUGUAGGGCUUGAGUGCAGGAGAGGAGAGUGGAAUUCCUAGUGUAGCGGUGAAAUGCGUAGAUAUUAGGAGGAACACCAGUGGCGAAGGCGACUCUCUGGACUGCAACUGACGCUGAGGCACGAAAGCGUGGGGAGCGAACAGG
rnacentral:rRNA from 1 species